rnacentral:rRNA from 1 species
CCCUUAGAUGUUCUGGGCCGCACGCGCGCUACACUGACGAAUGCAACGAGCUUAUAACCUUGGCCGAAGGGUCUGGGUAAUCUCCAAAUUUCGUCGUGAUGGGGAUAGAUUAUUGCAAUUAUUAAUCUUCAACGAGGAAUGCCUAGUAAGCGCAAGUCAUCAGCUUGCGUUGAUUACGUCCCUGCCCUUUGUACACACCGCCCGUCGCUACUACCGAUUGAAUGAUUUAGUGAGGACUUCGGACUGGGACCGAUGCGGCUUUCGGGCUGCGUCGGUAUUCUGGAAAGAUGUCCAAACUGUAUCAUUUAGAGGAAGUAAAAGUCGUAACA